AUACUUACCUGGCAGGGGAGGUACCACGAUCACAAAGGUGGUUUCCCCAGGGUGAGGCGUACCUAUGGCACUUCCAGAUGGGGUGACGCCUGCGAUUUCCUUGAGUGUGGGAAAAUCGGCUGCAUAAUUUGUGGUAGUGGGGGACUGCAUUCACGCUCUCCACUG